UGGGUAACCUGCCUCAAAGAGGGGAAUAGCCUCCCGAAAGGGGAGUUUAAUACCGCAUAAUAUGUUUAGGUCGCAUGACUUUAACAUCAAAGGAUUUCUUUUAGAAAUUCCACUUUGAGAUGGACCCGCGGCGCAUUAGCUAGUUGGUGAGGUAACGGCUCACCAAGGCAACGAUGCGUAGCCGACCUGAGAGGGUGAUCGGCCACAUUGGGAACUGAGACACGGUCCAGACUCCUACGGGAGCAG
rnacentral:rRNA from 1 species